rnacentral:rRNA from 1 species
UACGUAGGGGGCAAGCGUUGUCCGGAUUUAUUGGGCGUAAAGAGCGUGUAGGCGGCUAGGUAGGUCCGUUGUGAAAACUCGAGGCUCAACCUCGAGACGCCGAUGGAAACCAUCUAGCUAGAGUCCGGAAGAGGAGAGUGGAAUUCCUGGUGUAGCGGUGAAAUGCGCAGAUAUCAGGAAGGACACCCGUGGCUAAGGCGGCUCUCUAGUACGGUACUGACGCUGAGACGCGAAAGCGUGGGGAGCGAACAGG